GUUGAUGGCCUCCAGGAGGAGCACAGCCACUGUCACUGUCACUGCAGAACAAGUGUGACACUGAAAAGUAGUAAUAUGGAGGGCUGGUUUUGGAGAACCCUCCCACCUGUGAUCCAACUCUGAGGGUUGCCAGCCCUUACAGAUCAGUCUGGAAUCUCCAGGUAUUGGCAUCGCUAUUCAGGAGAGGAUCUUCAGGAAUUGCUUCAAUCAAAGCUGACAACCCUAAUCAGUUACCUCAUAGUGAACGAGCCAAGCUCUCUCCAGCAAUUUAUGGAUAUUCUGGAAGUGUUCAAAAGAUGUAUGGGAGAGUGUGGACUCUAGCAACAACAUCUUCUUGCUCACUUAUAUCAAAGGUGGCUUAAAUGCUUCAGUUAAAUUGGUCUAAAAUUGGUUGGACCAGUUAAAGUAGCCCAACACUAGCAUCCAGCAUCUUAGCCCACUGGGGAAUUAUCCUGUCAGCCCAAUUCAAUCCAGUUCUCCCCUGCCAUGGAAUGAAUUCAGCCAGAAUUCAAGGAUUUGGGUAUGUUUCCAGGAUCUCAGAAAAUGAGCUUUCAAGAAUCAGGUCUAGGUUCUCUAAAGGGUAGAGUAAAUUGAUGCUGACUCUC